rnacentral:rRNA from 1 species
AUGGCUCAGGACGAACGCUGGCGGCGUGCCUAAUACAUGCAAGUCGAACGGUCUUUCUAUGGAAGCUUGCUUCCACUGAGAAGAUAGUGGCGAACGGGUGAGUAACACGUGGGUAACCUGCCCAUAAGAGGGGGGAUAACAUCCGGAAACGGGUGCUAAUACCGCAUAGUUUUCUUGAUCGCAUGAUCGGGAAAGGAAAGACGGCCUUUGUGCUGUCGCUUAUGGAUGGACCCGCGGCGUAUUAGUUAGUUGGUGAGGUAACGGCUCACCAAGACGAUGAUACGUAGCCGACCUGAGAGGGUGAUCGGCCACAUUGGGACUGAGACACGGCCCAAACUCCUACGGGAGGCAGCAGUAGGGAAUCUUCCGCAAUGGACGAAAGUCUGACGGAGCAACGCCGCGUGAGUGAAGAAAGGUUUUCGGAUCGUAAAACUCUGUUGUCAGAGAAGAACAAGUUGGAGAGUAACUGCUCCAGCCUUGACGGUAUCUGGCCAGAAAGCCACGGCUAACUACGUGCCAGCAGCGGC